AUAUCUCUCUGUACGGGAAGGAUGAGAAGCUUCGACUAAGGUUCGAUUCGAGCGAAAGCGAGAAAGCGUUGCCGCA
rnacentral:sRNA from 2 species